AUGGCUCCUACAAAGCAGACCGCUCGCAAAUCCGCGGGUGGUAGAGCACCCAGGAAGCAACUGGCUACAAAAGCCGCUCGCAAGACUGCGCCCUCUACUGGAAGGGUGAAGAAACCUCAUCGCUACAGGCCUGGUAAGGUGGCACUCCGUGAAAUAAGACAUUAUCAGAAGCCCACUGAACUUCUGAUUCACAAACUUCCUUUCCAGCGUCUGGUGCGAGAAAUUCCUCAGGACUUUAAGACAGAUCUGCGCUUCCAGAGCUCAGCUAUUGGUGCUUUGCAGGAGGCAAGGGAGGCCUAUCUGGUUGGCCUUUUUUAAGACACCAACCUGCCAAACGUGUAACAAUUAUGCCAAAAGACAUCCAGCUAGCACGCCGCAUACCUGGAGAACGUGCUUAGGAGUCCACUAUGAUGGGAAACAUUUCAUUGUCAAAAAAAA